rnacentral:rRNA from 1 species
CGGCAGGCUUAACACAUGCAAGUCGAGGGGCAGCGGGGAGGAAGCUUGCUUUCUCCGCCGGCGACCGGCGCACGGGUGAGUAACACGUAUGCAACCUGCCCCUGUCAGGGGGACAACCCGCCGAAAGGCGGGCUAAACCCGCGUACAUGCCACCGGGGCAUCCCGGAGGCAGGAAAGGCUUCGGCCGGACAGGGAUGGGCAUGCGGCGCAUUAGGCAGUAGGCGGGGUAACGGCCCACCUAACCGACGAUGCGUAGGGGUUCUGAGAGGAAGGUCCCCCACACUGGUACUGAGACACGGACCAGACUCCUACGGGAGGCAGCAGUGAGGAAUAUUGGUCAAUGGUCGGGAGACUGAACCAGCCAAGCCGCGUGAGGGAGGAAGGUACAGAGUAUCGUAAACCUCUUUUGUCAGGGAACAAAGGCGGGGACGUGUCCCCGGAUGAGUGUACCUGAAGAAAAAGCAUCGGCUAACUCCGUGCCAGCAGCCGCGGUAAUACGGAGGAUGCGAGCGUUAUCCGGAUUUAUUGGGUUUAAAGGGUGCGCAGGCGGUCUGUUAAGUCAGCGGUCAAAGCCCGGGGCUCAACCCCGGCCCGCCGUUGAAACCGGCAGUCUCGAGUUGGAGAGAAGUAUGCGGAAUGCGCGGUGUAGCGGUGAAAUGCAUAGAUAUCGCGCAGAACUCCGAUUGCGAAGGCAGCAUGCCGGCUCCACACUGACGCUGAGGCACGAAAGCGUGGGUAUCGAACAGGAUUAGAUACCCUGGUAGUCCACGCAGUAAACGAUGAAUGCUGGCUGUCCGGGGGGACUGACCCCUGGGUGGCGAAGCGAAAGCGAUAAGCAUUCCACCUGGGGAGUACGCCGGCAACGGUGAAACUCAAAGGAAUUGACGGGGGCCCGCACAAGCGGAGGAACAUGUGGUUUAAUUCGAUGAUACGCGAGGAACCUUACCCGGGCUCAAACGGGGAGUGGCGCAGGCAGAGACGCCUGUUUCCCACGGGACACUCCCCGAGGUGCUGCAUGGUUGUCGUCAGCUCGUGCCGUGAGGUGUCGGCUUAAGUGCCAUAACGAGCGCAACCCCCGCGUGCAGUUGCUAACAGUCAACGCUGAGGACUCUGCACGGACUGCCGGCGCAAGCCGCGAGGAAGGCGGGGAUGACGUCAAAUCAGCACGGCCCUUACGUCCGGGGCGACACACGUGUUACAAUGGGUGGUACAGCGGGAAGCCAGGCGGCGACGCCGAGCGGAACCCGAAAUCCACUCUCAGUUCGGAUCGGAGUCUGCAACCCGACUCCGUGAAGCUGGAUUCGCUAGUAAUCGCGCAUCAGCCAUGGCGCGGUGAAUACGUUCCCGGG